rnacentral:rRNA from 1 species
GACGAACGCUGGCGGCGUGCCUAAUACAUGCAAGUUGAGCGAUGAAGAUUGGUGCUUGCACCAAUUUGAAGAGCAGCGAACGGGUGAGUAACGCGUGGGGAAUCUGCCUUUGAGCGGGGGACAACAUUUGGAAACGAAUGCUAAUACCGCAUAACAACUUUAAACAUAAGUUUUAAGUUUGAAAGAUGCAAUUGCAUCACUCAAAGAUGAUCCCGCGUUGUAUUAGCUAGUUGGUGAGGUAAAGGCUCACCAAGGCGAUGAUACAUAGCCGACCUGAGAGGGUGAUCGGCCACAUUGGGACUGAGACACGGCCCAAACUCCUACGGGAGGCAGCAGUAGGGAAUCUUCGGCAAUGGACGAAAGUCUGACCGAGCAACGCCGCGUGAGUGAAGAAGGUUUUCGGAUCGUAAAACUCUGUUGGUAGAGAAGAACGUUGGUGAGAGUGGAAAGCUCAUCAAGUGACGGUAACUACCCAGAAAGGGACGGCUAACUACGUG